GAGAAAAGUCAACAGACAUAGCUCAGAUCAGUAGUCAAAGCUUUGAGAGCUGUCCAAAUGGUCCAAGUACUCAUCCAAGUGACCAGGCAUUUGAGCAGAUCCACAGUACUGCUCAUGAACCUGCUCCAACAGCUCGCUAUAUUAAAGUAAAAAUGAGACUAAGAACCGGAAUCUAAAACCCUAAAUACUCUAUCAAUGAAGUUGGAUCUAUUUGAAUACUGACAAACAGAAGGAAGUAAUUGAGACUGAGCAGGAGAAACAAGGGCACUUAAACCCACCAAUAUAGAACUCAACCUCCAAGAACCCGAAGAUCAAAAUGAAAUAUGUUGACCUUUUUUUGUAGUGAGUUGUGAAAGGCAGGUGAAAAUUUAAAUCCUUAUGCCCAUAUGUGAGAAUUUAGACCUAUGAUUUUCUUCCUUAUGGUCUGGCUAGGUCUUCAAGAUGUAUUCAGAAAUAUUAAUUUCAUUCUGAUGGUGUAGUUCAGUCCUACUGUUGGCUUACUUGUCAAGGACAGGGAUGCAUAAAAAAAAAUACUAAAAAAUUGUGGUUGACAUGUCAAUCUUUCUCACAGGUACAGUUCUAUCACCCUUUUAAAAUCUGUCUGUGUAUUCAUUGGAUGUGUAAAUGCAUUGAGACAAAC